UGGUUAAGAUACUAAGGGCGUACGGUGGAUGCCUUGGCACGGGAAGGCGAUGAAGGGCGUGGUAAGCUGCGAUAAGCCCCGGGGAGGCGCAAACAGCCUGAGAUCCGGGGAUUCCCGAAUGGGGAAACCCGUCCGGAGUCAUGUCCGGACACUCCCUGCUGAAUCCAUAGGCAGGUGAGGGCCAACGGGGGGAACUGAAAUAUCUUAGUACCCCCAGGAAGAGAAAGCAACUGCGAUUCCCUCAGUAGCGACGAGCGAACGGGGAAGAGCCCAAACCAGCUUGAUGUCUAAGCCUGCACGCGUUGUCAAGCUGGGGUAGAGGGAUCCAGAGGGGCGCAGGUGCAGCUGCGCCGGGAAGUGACCAAUCCAAGGGUUAGCCGAAGCGACCUGGAAAGGUCGGGCCAAAGAGGGUGAUAGCCCCGUAGGCGAAAACUCUUGGACUUCCUGCUCUGGACUCCCAAGUACCGCGGGACACGUGGAAUCCCGCGGGAAUCCGCGAGGACCACCUCGUAAGGCUAAAUACUCUCCCGUGACCGAUAGUGCACUAGUACCGUGAGGGAAAGGUGAAAAGUACCCCUGGCGGGGAGUGAAAUAGGACCUGAAACCGUACGCCUACAAGCAGUCGGAGCCCCGCCUCGCGCGGGGUGACGGCGUGCCUUUUGCUUAAUGAGCCGGGGAGUUGUCGUACGUUGCGAGGUUAAGCCGCUCAGCGGCGUAGCCGUAGCGAAAGCGAGUCCGAACAGGGCGCCUGAGUAACGUGCGGCAGACGCGAAACCGGGUGAUCUACCCAUGGCCAGGGUGAAGCGGCCGUAAAAGGUCGUGGAGGCCCGAACCGCACAACGUUGAAAAGUUGUCGGAUGAGCUGUGGGUAGGGGUGAAAGGCCAAUCAAACUCGGAGAUAGCUCGUUCUCCCCGAAAUAGCUUUAGGGCUAGCCUCGCGUUAGAGUGGUGGAGGUAGAGCACUGAUUGGGCUAGGGCCCUCACAAGGGUACCAACCCCAAACAAACUCCGAAUGCCACCACCUCGAUGCGCGGGAGUCAGGCCACGGGGGAUAAGCUUCGUGGCCGAGAGGGAAACAACCCAGAUCGCCAGCUAAGGCCCCAAAGCACAGGCUAAGUGGUAAAGGAUGUGCAGCCGCUAAGACAGCCAGGAUGUUGGCUUAGAAGCAGCCAUCAUUCAAAGAGUGCGUAACUGCUCACUGGUCGAGCGGCUGUGCGCCGACAAUACUCGGGGCUCAAGCCUGUCGCCGAAGCUGCGGUCCCGAUCCCCUGGGGAUCGGGAGGUAGGGGAGCGUUCCGGUCGCCUGCGAAGCUCGACCGCGAGGUCGGGUGGAGGUCCCGGAAAUGAGUAUCCCGGCAUGAGUAGCGAUAAGGGAGGUGAGAAUCCUCCCCACCGAAAGCCUAAGGUUUCCUGAGUAAAGUUCGUCUGCUCAGGGUUAGCCGGCCCCUAAGCCGAGCCCAGGAAUCUGGGGUAGGUGAUGGGAAGCAGGUUUAAUAUUCCUGCGCCACUUGGGAACCGCUUGACCUAUGGGGUGACGCAGAAGGGGCGGCCAGCCGGGUGAUGGACGUCCCGGUCUAAGCGCGUAGGGGGGCGCCGUAGGCAAAUCCGCGGCGCCAUAACCCCGAGACGCGAAUGGGAGGGCUUAGCCCACAAACUGGCCUCAACCACGCUGCCAAGAAAAGCCCCUAUGGGAGGUUCCUAGGUGACCGUACCGCAAACCGACACAGGUAGGCGGGGAGAGCAUCCUAAGGUGCGCGGGUGAGUCCUGGUCAAGGAACUAGGCAAAAUGGCCCCGUAACUUCGGGACAAGGGGUGCCCCAAGUAGGUGAAGCCCCUCGCGGGCGGAGCUGAAAGGGGCCGCAGAGAAUCGGCCUGGGCGACUGUUUACUAAAAACACAGGUCUAUGCGAAGCCGUAAGGCGACGUAUAUGGACUGACACCUGCCCGGUGCCGGAAGGUUAAGGGGAAGGGUCAUCCCGACUUCGGUCGGGAGAAGCUCUGAACCGAAGCCCCGGUAAACGGCGGCCGUAACUAUAACGGUCCUAAGGUAGCGAAAUUCCUUGUCGGGUAAGUUCCGACCUGCACGAAUGGUGUAACGACUUGGGCACUGUCUCGACCAGGAGCCCGGCGAAAUUGUAGCACCGGUGAAGAUGCCGGUUACCCGCGACGGGACGGAAAGACCCCGUGAACCUUUACUGCAGCCUAGUACUGGGUUCUGGUAUUGCAUGUAGAGGAUAGGUGGGAGGCUGAGAAGUGCCGACGCCAGUCGGCAUGGAGCCGCCGGUGGAAUACCACCCUUGCAUUAUCGGAAUCCUAACCCAGGGCCGUGAACCCGGUCCGGGGACCCUGCUAGGUGGGCAGUUUGACUGGGGCGGUCGCCUCCUAAAAGGUAACGGAGGCGCCCAAAGGUUCCCUCAGCACGGUCGGUAAUCGUGCGUAGAGUGCAAAGGCAUAAGGGAGCCUGACUGUGAGGCACACAGGCCGAGCAGGCGCGAAAGCGGGGCUUAGUGAUCCGGCGGUGGUGCGUGGAAACGCCGUCGCUCAACGGAUAAAAGGUACUCCGGGGAUAACAGGCUGAUCGGGCCCAAGAGUUCACAUCGACGGCCCGGUUUGGCACCUCGAUGUCGGCUCAUCGCAUCCUGGGGCUGGAGAAGGUCCCAAGGGUUGGGCUGUUCGCCCAUUAAAGCGGUACGUGAGCUGGGUUUAGAACGUCGUGAGACAGUUCGGUCCCUAUCUGUCGCGGGCGCAGGAGGUUUGAGGGAGGCUGCCCUUAGUACGAGAGGACCAGGGUGGACGGACCUCUAGUGUACCAGCUGUCUCGCCAGAGGCACCGCUGGGUAGCUAUGUCCGGUCGGGAUAAGCGCUGAAAGCAUCUAAGCGCGAAGCCCUUCCCAAGAUAAGACCUCCCUCCCGAGCAAUCGGGACUGAAGGCCCCUCGGAGAUGACGAGGUUGAUAGGCCGCAGGUGUAAGUCCCGUGAGGGAUUUAGCCGAGCGGUACUAAUCGGCCGUGCGUCUUAACCAAACA
rnacentral:rRNA from 1 species